GACGAACGCUGGCGGCAUGCCUAAUACAUGCAAGUCGAGCGAACAGAUGAAGUGCUUGCACUUCUGACGUUAGCGGCGAACGGGUGAGUAACACGUAAGGAAUCUACCUAUAAGCGGGGGAUAACAUUCGGAAACGGGUGCUAAUACCGCAUAAUAUCUUCUUCCGCAUGGAAGAAGAUUGAAAGACGGCGCUGCUGUCACUUAUAGAUGACCUUGCGGUGCAUUAGUUAGUUGGUGGGGUAAUGGCCUACCAAGACGAUGAUGCAUAGCCGACCUGAGAGGGUGAUCGGCCACAUUGGGACUGAGACACGGCCCAAACUCCUACGGGAGGCAGCAGUAGGGAAUCUUCCGCAAUGGGCGAAAGCCUGACGGAGCAAUGCCGCGUGAGUGAAGAAGGCCUUCGGGUCGUAAAACUCUGUUAUAAGAGAAGAACAAAUUGUAGAGUAACCGCUACAGUCUUGACGGUAUCUUAUCAGAAAGCCACGGCUAACUACGUGCCAGCCGCCGCGGUAA
rnacentral:rRNA from 1 species